rnacentral:rRNA from 1 species
GCGCAGCAGUCGAGAAACUUUACAAUGUGCGAAAGCACGAUAAGGGAACUCUGAGUGCCUCCUAAGGAGGCUGUUCAGGUGUCUAAAAGCACCUGAAGGAAGGGCUGGGUAAGACCGGUGCCAGCCGCCGCGGUAACACCGGCAGCCCAAGUGGUAGCCACGUUUAUUGGGUCUAAAGCGUCCGUAGCCGGCUGGGUAAGUUCCUUGGGAAAUUUGGCUGCUUAACAGUCAAGCUUUCAGGGAAUACUGCCCGGCUUGGGACCGGGAGAGGUCAGAGGUACUCCAGGGGUAGGGGUGAAAUCCAUUAAUCCUUGGGGGACCACCGGUAGCGAAGGCGUCUGACCAGACCGGGUCCGACGGUGAGGGACGAAGGCUAGGGGCGCGAACCGGAUUAGAUACCCCCGUAGU